rnacentral:rRNA from 1 species
UACGUAGGGUGCAAGCGUUGUCCGGAAUUAUUGGGCGUAAAGAGCUCGUAGGCGGCUUGUCGCGUCGGCUGUGAAAACCUGGGGCUCAACCCCGGGCCUGCAGCCGAUACGGGCAAGCUAGAAUUCGGUAGGGGAGACUGGAAUUCCCGGUGUAGUGGUGAAAUGCGUAGAUAUCGGGAGGAACACCAGUGGCGAAGGCGACUACCUGGCCUGUUCUUGACGCUGAGGAGCGAAAGCCAGGGGAGAGCAAACGGG